AACGAACGCUGGCGGCAUGCCUAACACAUGCAAGUCGAACGAGACCUUCGGGUCUAGUGGCGCACGGGUGCGUAACGCGUGGGAACCUGCCCUUAGGUUCGGAAUAACUCCCCGAAAGGGGUGCUAAUACCGGAUAAUGUCUUCGGACCAAAGAUUUAUCGCCUUUGGAUGGGCCCGCGUUGGAUUAGCUAGUUGGUAGGGUAAAAGCCUACCAAGGCGACGAUCCAUAGAUGGUCUGAGAGGAUGAUCAGCCACACUGGGACUGAGACCCGGCCCAGACUCCUACGGGAGGGAGCAGUGGGGAAUAUUGGACCAUUGGGGGAAGCCUGAUCCCGCCAUGCCGGGUGAGUGAUGAAAGGCUUAGGGUUGUAAAGCUCUUUUACCCGGGAUGGUAAUGACAGUACCGGGAGAAUAAGCUCCGGCUAACUCCGUG
rnacentral:rRNA from 1 species